AUUGAACGCUGGCGGCAGGCCUAACACAUGCAAGUCGAGCGGAGCGGCGGACGGGUGAGGAAUGCCUAGGAAUCUGCCUGGUAGUGGGGGAUAACGUCCGGAAACGGGCGCUAAUACCGCAUACUAUCAGAUGAGCCUAGGUCGGAUUAGCUAGUUGGUGGGGUAAAGGCCUACCAAUGCGACGAACCGUAACUGGUCUGAGAGGAUGAUCAGUCACAAUGGAAAUGAGACACGGGCCAUACUCCUACGGGUGGCAGCAGUGGGGAAAUUUUGACAAUGGGCCAAAGCCUGAUCCAGCCAUGCCGCGUGUGUGAAGAAGGUCUUCGGGUUGUAAAGCACUUUAAGUUGGGAAGCGUUACCAACAGAAUAAGCACCGGCUAACUUCGUGCCAGCAGCCGCGGUAAUUC
rnacentral:rRNA from 1 species